UACGAAGGGGGCUAGCGUUGCUCGGAAUCACUGGGCGUAAAGCGCACGUAGGCGGAUUGCUAAGUCAGGGGUGAAAUCCUGGAGCUCAACUCCAGAACUGCCUUUGAUACUGGCGAUCUUGAGUCCGGGAGAGGUGAGUGGAACUGCGAGUGUAGAGGUGAAAUUCGUAGAUAUUCGCGAAGAAUACCCGGUGGCGAAGGCGGCUCUCUGGGACGGUACUGACGCGUGAGACGGCGAAAGCGUGGGAGCGAACGAGG
rnacentral:rRNA from 1 species